AGCCCCCAGCUUUCUGUUCUUCUUCACUGGGGUUUGUGGGAGCCAUGGUCCCGAGAGAAGCUUCCUGCACUGUAUUGAACACAGAGGGAAUAAUAAUUGUACUUAAGUGUUUACCCUUUGCCAAGUAAAGUAGGUUUUCAGUUUCAGGUGUGUCAAAGCCACCCAAAAUUAGGUUGAUUGCUCCCUUAGAGAAACUGAUGCUCAAUCUGUGGUUCCAAUAAGCAGCCCUGACACACGUGCCCUCGGAGGAAAAAAAAAAAAAAUUAGCAGAAAGACAAGAGUCUCCUGGUGAGUCUCCAGGGAAGAGAUGCAGAAUCCGAAGAGAGGUACAGCACUGUUGGGGGUUUGUGAGUUCCUGUCACAGUCCCGAGCUUGAACAAUUCCGAUUAAAGCCGCAUGUUUGAGACUGUCAUUAGACCUGCGUUAAAUUACAUAUCCGGAGUGUUAAAAAUAAAGAGUACGAUGGCUUAUUCUCCGUUACCUAAGGAAGAACUCCUAACUUCUCCAGUGGCAUAUGGAAACAUUUAAAAAAGCACUCGAAAAAUGAGCCGCUCAUCACUCGUCUUAGAGUUAAUCAGCUACAACUUGGGUCAUUUGCUUGGCUUGGGACCAGAGAUGCAAACACAGGAUGGACCUGGAAAAUGAGACAUUCCAACCAGAUCUGACCUCCUCUCCGCAACAGCCCUUUAGUACCAGUGGACAACGAGAAGGAAACCUCCGAUCACAGUUGCCAGCUGAGGAACGGCAGCAUUAAAGGGCAGGUUCCUUUUCCUUGAGAGGAAGUUUCUGUACAUUUCCAUGCCCUUGGAGGAGAGGUGGCAUGGUAGAGACAUCUCCUCUCCUUCUCCUCUCUUCUGGUAGGAAAACAUAGGCCCCAAGAGUUAAAGGUCAAUUCCCUAUUCCUGGAUGUAUGUGUGCUCUAUCUCUGAUUUAAUGAGAGCCACAUGGACGUGCCAGAGAGCCCCAUUUGGCUCCAGAUUAUUUAAGUUUGCAUGCACUUCUCAGUUUUCAAAUUCUCUUCCUAGAUUGCUCUAACUGAAGUAGGAUUUUGGCUUGGAAAUACAUUCGUGAAACCCACCUCUAGAAGACCCGACUGUAUGGAAAUGCCUAUUUGAAUGUUUCUUUCUACAGUGUGGCGGUUGUCCUGACACUCUUCCACUGUCAUCUCUGCCAUCAGCACUGUCAGCAGGAUAGCUGAGGGACUAAUGUAUCUGCCUCUACUGAGGAAGAGUCAUCCCAGGUUUAUUAGAAUUGGUGGGGUAUUUUCACUUUGGCACCAUGGGUGUCAGGCAGACCAGAGGAUGGUUCGACAGACUCCAGCGUCGUCGUCUGAGAAGAAUUGACUUCCUCUCCCACUCAUCCCGC